rnacentral:SRP_RNA from 1 species
GAUAGUAUACUUUGGUACAAGUCUAGAAUCCCUGCUACUUUGGAGUCUGAGGCUGGUGGAUCUCUGGAGCUCAGGAGUUCUGAACUGCAGUUGACUAAGCCAAUCAGGUAUCUCUACUAAGUUCAGCCUCAAGAUGAUGAGUCUCCAGCAGCCAGGGAACCACCAGAUUGCCUAAGGAGGGGAAAACCAGUCCAGAUAGGAAAUGGAACAGGUCAAAGCUCUUGCACUAAUCAGUAGUGAGUUUGGGUUUGUGAGCAUUCCCUGUACUCUAGGCUGGGAGCGCUAGGGAGACCCAGGCUUUA